CGCGUAGGCGGGCUGUUAAGUCGGGGGUGAAAUCCCGGGGCUCAACCCCGGAACUGCCUUCGAUACUGGCAGCCUAGAGGUCGAGAGAGGUGAGUGGAAUUCCGAGUGUAGAGGUGAAAUUCGUAGAUAUUCGGAGGAACACCAGUGGCGAAGGCGGCUCACUGGCUCGAUACUGACGCUGAGGUGCGAAAGCGUGGGGAGCAAACA
rnacentral:rRNA from 1 species